rnacentral:rRNA from 1 species
AUACGUAGGGGGCAAGCGUUGUCCGGAAUUACUGGGCGUAAAGAGCUCGUAGGCGGCUCAGCAAGUCGGUCGUGAAAGCCCGAGGCUCAACCUCGGAACUGCGGUCGAUACUGCUGUGGCUAGAGUCCGGUAGAGGAGAGUGGAAUUCCCGGUGUAGCGGUGGAAUGCGCAGAUAUCGGGAGGAACACCAGUGGUGAAGGCGGCUCUCUGGGCCGGUACUGACGCUGAGGAGCGGAAGCGUGGGGAGCAAACAGGAUUAGAAACCCCUGUAGUCC